rnacentral:rRNA from 1 species
AACGAACGCUGGCGGCAGGCUUAACACAUGCAAGUCGAGCGCCCCGCAAGGGGAGCGGCAGACGGGUGAGUAACGCGUGGGAAUCUACCCAUCUCUACGGAAUAACGCAUGGAAACGUGUGCUAAUACCGUAAAUGUCCUUCGGGAGAAAGAUUUAUCGGAGAUGGAUGAGCCCGCGUUGGAUUAGCUAGUUGGUGGGGUAAAGGCCUACCAAGGGGACGAUCCAUAGCUGGUCUGAGAGGAUGAUCAGCCACACUGGGACUGAGACACGGCCCAGACUCCUACGGGAGGCAGCAGUGGGGAAUAUUGGACAAUGGGCGCAAGCCUGAUCCAGCCAUGCCGCGUGAGUGAUGAAGGCCCUAGGGUUGUAAAGCUCUUUCACCGGUGAAGAUAAUGACGGUAACCGGAGAAGAAGCCCCGGCUAACUUCGUGCCAGCCGCCGCCGUAAGAC